AGGAAUAUUGGUCAAUGGACGAGAGUCUGAACCAGCCAAGUAGCGUGCAGGAAGACGGCCCUAUGGGUUGUAAACUGCUUUUAUAAGGGAAUAAAGUGAGUCUCGUGAGACUUUUUGCAUGUACCUUAUGAAUAAGGACCGGCUAAUUCCGUGCCAGCAGCCGCGGUAAUACGGAAGGUCCGGGCGUUAUCCGGAUUUAUUGGGUUUAAAGGGAGCGUAGGCCGGAGAUUAAGCGUGUUGUGAAAUGUAGACGCUCAACGUCUGCACUGCAGCGCGAACUGGUUUCCUUGAGUACGCACAAAGUGGGCGGAAUUCGUGGUGUAGCGGUGAAAUGCUUAGAUAUCACGAAGAACUCCGAUUGCGAAGGCAGCUCACUGGAGCGCAACUGACGCUGAAGCUCGAAAGUGCGGGUAUCGAACAGGAUUAGAUACCCUGGUAGUCCGCACGGUAAACGAUGGAUGCCCGCUGUUGGUCUGAAUAGGUCAGCGGCCAAGCGAAAGCAUUAAGCAUCCCACCUGGGGAGUACGCCGGCAACGGUGAAACUCAAAGGAAUUGACGGGGGCCCGCACAAGCGGAGGAACAUGUGGUUUAAUUCGAUGAUACGCGAGGAACCUUACCCGGGCUUGAAUUGCAGAGGAAGGAUUUGGAGACAAUGACGCCCUUCGGGGCCUCUGUGAAGGUGCUGCAUGGUUGUCGUCAGCUCGUGCCGUGAGGUGUCGGCUUAAGUGCCAUAACGAGCGCAACCCCUCUCCUUAGUUGCCAUCAGGUCAUGCUGGGCACUCUGGGGACACUGCCACCGUAAGGUGUGAGGAAGGUGGGGAUGACGUCAAAUCAGCACGGCCCUUACGUCCGGGGCUACACACGUGUUACAAUGGCAGGUACAGAGAGACGGUCCCUUGCAAAAUGGAUCAAAUCCUUAAAGCCUGUCUCAGUUCGGACUGGGGUCUGCAACCCGACCCCACGAAGCUGGAUUCGCUAGUAAUCGCGCAUCAGCCAUGGCGCGGUGAAUACGUUCCCG
rnacentral:rRNA from 1 species